CCCUUAGAUGUUCGGGGCCGCACGCGCGCUACACUGAGGGAAUCAGCGCGUCUUUCUCCUUGUCCGAAAGGACUGGGUAACCCGCUGAACCUCCUUCGUGCUAGGGAUUGGGGCUUGUAAUUCUUCCCCAUGAACGAGGAAUUCCCAGUAAGCGCGAGUCAUAAGCUCGCGUUGAUUACGUCCCUGCCCUUUGUACACACCGCCCGUCGCUACUACCGAUUGGAUGGUUUAGUGAGAUCCUCGGAUUGGUCCCGGCGCGGCCUCUGGUCGUGCCGGAGUGCCGAAAAGAAUGUCGAACUUGAUCAUCUAGAGGAAGUAAAAGUCGUAACA
rnacentral:rRNA from 1 species